AAGCUUAAACAGGGUGAUAAUGUUGUCUUGAUGUCAAAUCAUCAAAGUGAAGCCGAUCCUGCGAUUAUUGCACUCUUGAUUGAAUCAAAGCUCCCAGAUAUUGCUGAGAACAUUAUAUAUGUUGCUGGAGAUAGAGUUAUUACUGAUCCUCUUUGCAAGCCAUUCAGCAUGGGAAGGAAUCUCCUGUGUGUUUAUUCGAAAAAACAUAUGAAUGAUGACCCCGAACUUGCUGAGAUGAAAAAGAGAGCAAACACAAGAAGCUUGAAGGAGAUGGCUUUGCUAUUGAGGGGUGGAUCAAAAAUAAUAUGGAUUGCUCCUAGUGGUGGAAGAGAUAGGCCAGACCCUGUUACAAAAGAAUGGUAUCCAGCACCAUUUGAUGCUUCCGCGACAGACAACAUGAGGAGGCUUGUACAACAUGCUGGUGUCCCUGGUCACAUUUAUCCUCUAGCAAUAUUGUGCCAUGAUAUUAUGCCCCCUCCCGCCCAGGUUGAGAAAAAUAUCGGAGAGAAAAGAGUUGUAUCUUUUCAUGGAGCUGGCAUAUCUGUGGCACCCAAAAUUGAUUUUCAUGAGGUUGCUGGUGCUUUGGAGGACCCUGAGGCUAAGAUGGUAUAUACAAAGGCA
rnacentral:misc_RNA from 1 species